CACAGCAUAAAAGCCUGCUCUACUCCAGGCUCUGCAUCUUCCUCUCUUGCUUCCCUUUCCUCUAAGAACAAGCUUUGCCUCGCUCACCGAGAGAUGUCUUGCUUCAGACCAUGUCCCCCACGCCCCUGUGGCACCUGUGGCCCAACGCCACUUGCAAGCAGCUGCAGUGAGCCCUGUGUCGCCCGCUGUGCUGACUCGACCAUUGCCAUCGAGGCUUCCCCGGUGUUGGUGACCCUGCCGGGCCCCAUCCUCACCUCUUUCCCGCAGAGCACAGCCGUGGGAUCCUCUCUGUCAGCUGCGGUUGGGAGCGCCCUCAGCACUGGUGGGGUUCCCAUCUCUUCUGGGGGCUCCCUUGGUCUGGGGGGGUCAGGCCUGUGUCUGCCUCCCCCUCGCUGCAGUUUCAACUGCUGAAGCUGGCAGAUCAUCCACAUUGGAGCCAGAAGGAAGAUGUGCACCCUGUAUGAGCAGGAACAUGGCCACGGUUUCCAGAUGAGCUGGGUGUCCUCUUCCCACCUGCCAAUAUGGUGCUGUGCCUCCUGCUUUUCACUGCAGGGCAGGCCUUGCUCUACCUUCUCUGGCUCUGCUUAGCCCUGAGCCCCUGAGAGAAAGGGCUCCUUCUCUUCAGCUUUACUGAACCUCCUACUGAUGUGGGGGGAGUUGCAGAAUCAGGGACUGCUCUUGGUGGCCUGGGAAUACCACCAGGUGGAGCAGAAUGGGAAAAGUGAACCGCUUUGUGUCCAACUUGUCCUUUGGAAACUGGUGGUUCUCUGUGCCUCCCUGAACCCUGCAGACAUCUUUCUUGGUCUCUGUUCUGUGCCCCUGCAUUUGCUCCUUCUGAUUAAAGACUGUGUGCAGCAUA